rnacentral:tRNA from 1 species
GGCGGUGUAGCUCAGAUGGCUAGAGCGUCCGGUUCAUACCCGGGAGGUCGUGGGUUCGAUCCCCUCCGCCGCUA